rnacentral:rRNA from 1 species
CCUACGUGAGGCAGCAGUAGGGAAUAUUGCUCAAUGGGGGAAACCCUGAAGCAGCAACGCCGCGUGGAGGAUGACGGUUUUCGGAUUGUAAACUCCUUUUGUCAGAGAAGAUAAUGACGGUAUCUAACGAAUAAGCACCGGCUAACUCCGUGACAGCAGCCGCGGUAAUACGGAGGGUGCAAGCGUUACUCGGAAUCAUUGGGCGUAAAGGGCGCGUAGGCGGGAUAGCAAGUCAGAUGUGAAAUCCUAUGGCUUAACCAUAGAACUGCAGUUGAAACUGUAUGUCUAGAGUAUGGGAGAGGUAGGUGGAAUUCUUGGUGUAGGGGUAAAAUCCGUAGAGAUCAAGAGGAAUACUCAUUGCGAAGGCGACCUGCUAGAACAUAACUGACGCUGAUGCGCGAAAGCGUGGGGAGCAAACAGGAUUAGAUACCCCAGUAGUC